UACGUAGGGUGCGAGCGUUGUCCGGAAUUAUUGGGCGUAAAGAGCUCGUAGGCGGUCUGUCGCGUCUGCUGUGAAAACCCGAGGCUCAACCUCGGGCCUGCAGUGGGUACGGGCAGACUAGAGUGCGGUAGGGGAGAAUGGAACUCCUGGUGUAGCGGUGGAAUGCGCAGAUAUCAGGAAGAACACCGAUGGCGAAGGCAGUUCUCUGGGCCGUAACUGACGCUGGAGGAGCGGAAAGCGUGGGGAGCGAACAGG
rnacentral:rRNA from 1 species